rnacentral:rRNA from 1 species
GAUGAACGCUGGCGGCGUGCCUAAUACAUGCAAGUCGAGCGAAUGGAUUAAGAGCUUGCUCCUAUGAAGUUAGCGGCGGACGGGUGAGUAACACGUGGGUAACCUGCCCAUAAGACUGGGAUAACUCCGGGAACCCGGGGCUAAUACCGGAUAACAUUUUGAACCGCAUGGUUCGAAAUUGAAAGGCGGCUUCGGCGGUCACUUAUGGAUGGACCCGCGUCGCAUUAGCUAGUUGGUGAGGUAACGGCUCACCAAGGCAACGAUGGGUAGCCGACCUGGUAGGGUGAUCGGCCACGCUGGGACUGAGACAAGGCCCAGACGCCUACGGGCGGCAGCAGUAGGGAAUCUUCCGCAAUGGACGAAAGUCUGACGGAGCAACGCCGCGUGAGUGAAGAAGGCUUUCGGGUCGUAAAACUCUGUUGUUAGGGAAGAACAAGUGCUAGUUGAAUAAGCUGGCACCUUGACGGUACCUAACCAGAAAGCCACGGCUAACUACGGGCCAGCAGCCGCAGUAA